GAGUUUGAUCCUGGCUCAGCCUGAACGCUGGCGGCGUGGCUAAGACAUGCAAGUCGAACGGGACGCGUAGCAAUACGCGUUCAGUGGCGGACGGGUGAGUAACGUAUCGCUAACGUACCCUUAGGCCCGGGAUAGCCAUCCGAAAGGAUGGGUAAUACCGGAUGACAUACCCGCGGGGCAUCCCGCGGGUCUCAAAGCCGCUAGGCGCCUUUGGAGCGGGCGAUAUCGUAUCAGCUAGUUGGUGCGGGUAACGGCCCACCAAGGCGAUGACGCGUAGCUGGUCUGAGAGGACGGCCAGCCACAUCGGGACUGAGACACUGCCCGGACUCCUACGGGGGGCUGCAGUAACGAAUCUUCCGCAAUGCACGAAAGUGUGACGGAGCGACGCCGCGUGUGGGACGAAGUCCUUCGGGAUGUAAACCACUGUCAGGGGUUACCAAGUUCUGAGGAGCCCCAGAGGAAGGCACGGCUAACUCUGUGCCAGCAGCCGCGGUAAGACAGAGGUGCCGAGCGUUAGGCGGAAUCACUGGGCUUAAAGCGUGUGUAGGCGGAUGCCUAAGUACCUUGUGAAAUCCCACGGCUCAACCGUGGAACGGCUCGGUAUACUGGGCGUCUUGAGCUGUCUAGGGGCGACCGGAACAAACGGUGGAGCGGUGAAAUGCGUAGAUAUCGUUUGGAACGCCAGUGGUGAAAACGGGUCGCUGGGGACAUGCUGACGCUGAGACACGAAAGCCAGGGGAGCGAACGGGAUUAGAUACCCCGGUAGUCCUGGCCGUAAACGAUGUCCACUAGGUCCUGGCCCCUCUGACGGGGUCGGGGCCGAAGUAAAAAUGGUAAGUGGACCGCCUGGGAAGUACGGUCGCAAGGCUAAAACUCAAAGAAAUUGACGGGGGCUCACACAAGCGGUGGAGCAUGUGGUUCAAUUCGAAGCAACGCGCAGAACCUUACCUGGGCUUGACAUGCCAGGAUUAUCCCCAUGAAAGUGGGGUAGGCCCCGCAAGGGGUACAACUGGUACAGGUGCUGCAUGGCUGUCGUCAGCUCGUGUCGUGAGAUGUCGGGUUAAGUCCCUUAACGAGCGAAACCUUUGCCCUUAGUUACCAGCGGGUCAUGCCGGGGACUCUAAGGGGACUGCCGGUGUCAAACCGGAGGAAGGUGGAGAUGACGUCAAGUCCUCAUGGCCUUUAUGCCCAGGGCCACACACGUGCUACAAUGGCGUCGACAAAGCGAGCCCAAAACGCGAGUUCGAGGAAAUCGCAGAAAUGACGCCCCAGUUCAGAUCGGAGGCUGCAACUCGCCUCCGUGAAGUUGGAAUCGCUAGUAAUCGCGGAUCAGCCACGCCGCGGUGAAUGUGUUCCUGAGCCUUGUACACACCGCCCGUCAAGUCAUGGGAGCCGGGAAUACCCGAAGUCGCCGCGCCACAGCGGUGCCUACGGUAGGCUCGGUGACUGGGACUAAGUCGUAACAAGGUAGCCGUAGGGGAACCUGCGGCUGGAUCACCUCCUU
rnacentral:rRNA from 1 species